GAAAUGCGAAACGUAAUGUGAAUUGCAUCCUUGUGUAUCAUCGAAUCUUUGAACGCAGUGUGCGCCCGGGCUUUUGUCCCGGGCACGCUUGUCUGAGCAAGGGUUUCUUUUUCUUAUUGGCGGUCCAAUUGAUUUAUUCGUCCGCUCAAAACGACUGUCGUUGUGCGCACCAGGAAACUCCGUUUCUAACCACGCAAUCAACGCUUUGACAGAACCAACCCAACUACUUCUCCUUCUCAGAUCAAGCGAGACUACCCGCUGAACUUAA
rnacentral:misc_RNA from 1 species